rnacentral:lncRNA from 1 species
GGAUGUUAUGCAAGAUUGAUAAUACUUGAAGGACUAAAUUAAAAACUGAGACAAAGAUGAAGGUACUAAAGUAUAAUUAACCUUGUAAUUUGCCACAUUUUUCUAGCCUAUAAAUACUCUUCCAUCCAUUCAUUAUUUUCUACCAUUUUUAGAAGAGUAAAGUUAUAAUCACAAGCUAUAAUAAGAGAAACUAUAGAAAGAGAAUAAGAGAGAAAGAAGAAUAGUAUUCUGUUACUACACUAUUGUAGUAUCCAAUCUCCUACUAAGGUAAGGAGUAUUAUUUUUAUCGUAUUCGUAAAGGAUGUUAUUUUUUUCAUACUCAUAAGGGUAGUCAUUCUAUUCCUUAUUUAUAUGUGGGAAUAACCUGUCUACGCGGACUACCGCAUGCUUGGUGAAUAACCCUUCGUAUUCAUUCCUUAUUAAUCUGUGAGAAUAACCUGUCUACGCGGACUGCCGCAUGCCUGGUGAAUAAUGUGACGCCCCUAAAAUAGGUCCACACAACCCAUUCUGAGUCGCCAAAUACAUGGCACAGAAAAUAACUACAACUUCAUUAUUACAAUUGUCGUGCAAAAUACGACAACACAUAUGCUAUGAGUUUAAAUAGAAAUAUUGUCUUCUAGAUAGUAUUCAAACUCAAAUAAGUCCUCAUUAUAAUUAUUGAUACACUAUUUUAUAAAAUAGUGAUGACUGCUAAAAUAACUGACUGAAACAUCACUCCACACUCCUACUGUGGCGACCCCAAAUCCGGAUACUUGAAACCCGAACUCGGUUCUCCACGAUACCAUUUCUUUAAGCUGAAUAAUUCUAAAUAUUAAUACAUUCGAACUUAAUUUACAUACAUCAAAGUUUACUUCCCCAGGUACGUGACCUUCAAAUACAUUCCUUACAAUACCUGACAAUAGAUUCCAUUGUCUUACUAACUAUAACCAUUAACUCAUAAUAUAAACUCAUUCGAACAGCUUUCCUUUCCCCUUGUUCGUGCCUGAGCCUUCAGAUUGCUCAUACAUAACUGAAAACAUUUAAUUUAAGCAAGGAUGAGCAUUUGAGUGCCCAGCAAGUAAUAGCAAUUAUAUAUAUAAGCUGAAAGAAUAUAAGUAUUCUCUUUACAUAACACUUCUACAACGAAUCGAAAGUUGUGAAGUAAUCUGUACUGAUAAAAAAUUCACAUAACAACUCUCUUUCAAAUUCUUUAAAUUUGGCUCUGGCUCUACCCUUGAAUAGGGUUUAAGAAACAUACUAUGAACAUUCUUUUCAUUUUCGAAAAGGUUUAGCGGAAUUCUAUCCUCAAACCGUCAUAACUUACGGGCACGGAGGGUGAUCAGCCCCGUUGUACCCUGUAUUGAUCAAUACUACAUAACUUGAACGAAAUUCAUCGCUCACUCUAUCCGCCUUGCGCAAAAAUCUUCCCAUAUAGGGAUGUUCAUACAUGCCUGGUUCCAAACCCGAAGGUUUUUAAUCUUGCUCAACAAUAAUAUGUAAUUCAACAUAUAUAUAUACGGGUAAUUGACAAAGGUAUAUCAACAUGUGAAUAAAUGCCAUGAUUAUCCAAGUGGGGACACUUGUAUAACCAUUUAGAAAUCAACUUAACAGAAUAUAUAUCUGAGCUAACAUGUUGAUAAUCAAAGCGUACAUAAUCUGUACAGGAAUAGAAUAAUUCUGAAACUUCUUACUCAUGUCCAUUGCAUAAAGAAAAUGCAAAGGUAGGAUACUUGCCUGAUUCGCUGAUUACAAAUCUCAACUUAGGUUUUAUCUCUUUAUCACAACCUAUC